AUGAGCAAUUACGAGAAGUCAGUAUCUACUCACCCAUCUCCCACAUCGACCAGUGUGUCUUCCUCUCCCUCCGCUCCAUCGACCAGUGUGUCUUCCCCUCCCUCCGCUCCAUCGACCAGUGUGUCUUCCCCUCCCUCCGCUCCAUCGACCAGUGUGUCUUCCCUUCCCUUCGCUCCAUCGACCAGUGCGUCUUCCCCUCCCUCCGUCCCAUCGACCAGUGUGUCUUCCCUUCCCUUACUUGAGGAACAUAAGGUGUCUCCCAAAAGCCCAACGCUCACACGUCCCACCCCUCACCGUUUAGAUCUCCGUUCCAAUUUCCUUUUGCAAGCCACAUUGCAAUUCGAUCAAUGGUACUAUGGCAAUCAGGUGGCAGUUAUCUCACAUCUCCAGAGGGAAAAGGAUAAGGAGACUUCAAACAAACAGUUGUGAUUGUUGCUCUAUCCUUUACGUGUAUCCCGUUCCCCUCCCUUACCCCCCUUUUUUUCUGUGUUCACAGUGACUGAGCAACAGAACUCAAGGAAACCGCCAUUGCGGACCACCAUUUCAAAAAUCUUUGAAAAUAACCAAUGCGAGAUCCUCGACCAUCCUUUGCGGCCACCGUUCGAAAAGUGUGCAAAUGGACAUAUGUCUGCGGAUCAUGUCGUCAACAGCUGACGAAUGACGAAUGUCCUUACUGUAGAGUACCAUUGACAACGGUUAUAAAGGAUCGUAUUUUGGACGAAAUUUUCUUUGCUGUCCAUCCGACUUUUGGUUCAGAUGCCCCAGAACCACCAUUAGGCCGGGGGGCCAACCGGUCAUUGAAUGCAACCGCUGGACCCUCAAGACUGCCAAGGGGCAGGGGAUAUCUCCUCUCCCAGUUAGGAAUAGACUCUUCCCCACCACUGCCAGGUCGGAGGAGGCAAUUAGGCCAAUCUCCAAAUCUCCAAAGGACCAUUGGGAGAACUUUGAUCGAGGCCGCGUUCGAAGAGUCGCUUUGGGACACAUUGGACGUUGACGACGCCGGGAAUAUAUUUGCACGAGUUCCAGAUUCACCGCUCACGAGAAGUACUCAAAGCACAGUUGAUGCGGUAUCCCGUUUGCGCAAAACAGGUCUGCGUGUAGCCCGUAUCCAGCGGGAAGAGGAGCUUCUCAAAUCUCGCCGAAAUGAAAAAUACCACCCCCCCAAGGGGUUAAACAUGCUCCUUGUACAUAGACCAGCGGUUCGCUUGUUCAUGAACACGCUCAAGGAAAACUACCCUUAGGGGUGUAGAAAUAAUUAUUUAGGGGUUCGGAGGGUCAUCAACCCUUUUUUACUACCCUCUAAAACAAUCCUAGGGACAUAAAUAAAAUUAUACUGGUGCCCCAAAUUUCGGUUCUUGAAAACCACAAUAAGAUCGCCUUCCCGCACAUGAAAGUCAGCGUACUCUCGAAAGACCCGAGGAAAAACCGAGUUCCCGGAAAACCCAUUCCAUUUUCUAACAGUUGGUCAGAAACACCCUCUUGUCAUGUAGGUACCCCUACCCACCCCCGAAAUGAAAAAUACCACCCCCCCCAAGGGGUUAAACAUGCUCCUUGUACAUAGACCAGCGGUUCGCUUGUUCAUGAACACGCUCCAGGAAAACUACCCUUAGGGGUGUGGAAAUAAUUGUUUAGGGGUUCGAAGG
rnacentral:lncRNA from 1 species